CAUUUGCUAAAGAUCCUCUCUCUCUCUCUCUAAAUGUGAACAAAGUUGUGGCAAAUUAUUAUCAUGUUUUCUAUGCUCUUUUGUCCAAGUUCACGACCGACUGUUUUUUUCUGAUCUUCAAGAUCUUACUUUGCAGUGCGUAGCUAGGAUAGCACUCAAGUUUUGAUUUUUGAGUUACCCCACCGCACCCAGGAAUAUGAAUCCGUCUUGAACAAAACUAGGCUACAGGUUUGCUAAUUUCAAGCUACAGUUUGCUAAUCUCAUGAUCAGCUAUAUAAACUCAGGUCAAAAAGUCACUUCCUCUCUGCCUUCUUCAAAGUGGUGUAUUCAACCACAUAAGAUUUUGCUGCUUGAGGUAAUGCCAUGUGCUGCUUAUUUUAGGAAUUGGGUAGGUGUGGAUCCAAUAGCCAAUGUUGCGAGUUUGACACAUACUUCAAUGUUGCUUCCUAAAAUUGGAGUCCUUUGGAUUCCCCCUUUUCUUUGAAAAUCUUUGUGCUUUUUUGAGGGGGAAUAGAGGUGUAAGUUUUAUAUUCUUAUACGGGUUUGGUUGCCUUGGUUCGCUAAUUGCUCGCACAUUUUAAAUUUUGCCAGCCUAAAUAUAGUUCAACUGUUAAGCUAUAUAUCCUUAGACCAAAAUGUUGGAGGUUCGAAUCUUCCACUCCCACAUAUUGUUAUACUUAAAGAAAAAUACAAUUUCAAUUCAAUCUUCAUUUUUCAAUAAAUAUUUUUUUGUUGGGUUCAACAACAUGUGGUGGUGGGAUUCAAAUAUCCGAUCUUUUGGUCGAGAAUAUGUCUUAACCAAUUGAGUUAUAUUCAAGUGGAUAUUUUUCAAUAAACUAUUUGGAGGAGUACUUUCAAACAUAACAUAUUUAAUUUGGUAAGAAAUGAGUAUGUUUACCUAGAAUUUCUUUUGUUAUGUAAUUUAAAUUUUAGGCAUCUGUUUAAAAUUCUGGCCAAAAAACUAAAGAGUGAUUGA